AAGAAAUAAAAACUGCAGAAACAGGACAAGACAAAACCAGCAAAAAGAACAAAAGGAAACCAAAAACCAAAAAGAACUAAAGCGGCAAAACCAAACCAAAGAAUAAAAUAAGGCCCAAAGCAGCAGUAACAGUUUAAAAAAAAAAAAAAAAAAAAAAGAAAAAAGAAAAAAAGAGCAUAAGAAACCAAUUAACUUAGUCUAUCAUAUCAACGGCUAUUUACAUUCACAAAAUCAAACCACAUACUCAAUUUACAGUAAAGUGAAGAAAACAAAAAACGAAAUUAUUGACAGAGCUUUAACUUUAACAGUAACAAAAAUACCUUGCGAUUUGCGAGCCACAGAGCUAGUCUUGAACGAGACACAGAGCUUGUCGGCGGAGAUCGCCGCUCUUGAGGCGCGCUCGUCACUCGUCGGAUAAAAGGCAACAGGCAAAUCGAAGAUGAGAGACUAAGGCAACAAGAGAAAAAAUCAGAUCGAGGCAAAACUACUGCCUCGCGAAGAACGAAUUGAACUUUGAUUUAAAAAGUUAAUUCAAAACGACGUGGUUUGGUUAAGGCAUUUUCUGUGUCAAAACUUCGUCGUUCUGGUAGUGAAGUGUUAGUUAUUUUCUUCCUUUCUUUUUCUGGCCUAAUACAGAGAGAUAAUUAAAAUUUUAUGUAAUUCAGUUAUAAAUUUAAUUUUUAUAUCUGAUAUGCAAAAACUAAAAAUUUAAAUUUUGUGAAUUUAAUUCUAUAAUAUAAUUAAAUUAAAUUUCAUAAAAAAGUGAAAUUUUAGAAUGAAUUUCAUAAAUUUAAACAAUAUAUUUUCGCAGAUAAUAGUAGAUAAGUUCUUGAUGGGCUUAAAUCUAUGUUUCUGUAUUUUACACAACCAGCAAUUGAACAGAAAAAAAAAACAUUCGACCAUAAAAUGACAAGCAUCUAUUCCAAUCAAAAUUAUUAGUGAUCCAAGUUAUCAAAUGGGCCUCAAAUAUACACAAAGCCCAAACACAACAGAUACACACUCAUCAUCCUUAUAUUUAUUCAUCAAGUGGGCCCAAGCCAGCAGGAGGCGGUUACCAAAUGUACAAAGUUAAAUAUAUAGAGUAGAUACAACAGCUGCUAGCAUCUGCUUCUUGAAUGUUUUCACUGUAUUGAACUAUUCUACAAUACAAUUUUUGUCUCCAUUAAUACACUGUUUCAGUUUUCUCUUUCUCUGGUGAAGAAUGCUUUGAUAAUCUCAUCAGUUAGCAAACCUCAAUAAUCUUUUUUGUUGUUAAAAUUUUGAUUAACAGCCUAGCCUGAUAUGGUGGUGACAAUUCUAAAUGAAAACAUAACCAAUAAUUAAAAAAAAAAAAAAAAGAAAUAAAAAUACCUAUGCUUUUAUUGUGUUUCAGCCAUUCAUUUUGUUAAGAUUUGAUGGGAGGUUUAAAUUGAUAUAAUCUUAAAUUCAUAUAUUGAAUUGAAAAAAUUACGAAAUCAAAUCGAAGAAAAAGUAAACUUUCUUUUUAUUUGAUGCAAAUUGAAUUGCUUAGCGUGACUAAUAAACUACAGGCCCAUUUUGGCCCAUUCUCCAAAUUUUGGGCCCUCAUACUGGGCCUAAACGCACUCGUACUUUUACCCAAUUCCUCUUUGGCAAAAACCCAUAACUAUAAAUUUCCAUCUAUCUCUGGUAGGAAAAAGAUAAAAUUCCAACUAGUCCAUGAGGUUCAGCCAACUGUACAGUUUCAUCCCAAUAUUUAAAAAUAAAAGGAAUUAAGGAGUCCCAAAAUUUAAUUCCAUUAAUGAAAUAAUAUUUUUAUUUCCAUAGACCUGGUUUAGGUAGGUCUAAACCUUAUUAUAAUUAAUAUUAAUUAACCAAUAGUCAAUAAAUAUUUUUUUGAAAAAUAUAAUUCAUUAACUAUAAUAUCAAACAUUACGAAUAAUCAUAUAGAUCAGACAAUGAAUUUUACUAUCAUAAGCUAAUAGAGUUCGUUGAUCUUUUAACAAGCUAAAAUAAUUAUAUAUAUUCUUUUGAAUGAUAAUACUAAAUAUAAGAAAAUAUAAUAUUAUAUCUUUCCACUUGAAGAUGAUCUUGAUAAAAGAUAUAAAUAUUCUUAUUACCAACUAGUUUUUUAAUUGAUUUGGAUAGUAAAAUAAUAAUUACUUUGGAUCUUUUAUAUCUGAAUUGUUUUUAGCUAAAUUGUUUUUUCAAGGACUUGUAAUAUAUAACAUACACAUAUGAAUUCUCGCCAACAUACAUCAAUAGUAUCAAUAGAGGAACAAGUCGCACUAUUAGACUUCGUUGAUCAAAGAUUCACAUUUACAAAUCAAUAUCAAAAGUUUCCAACCAAAUAAAAUCAAAUAUUAUACUUUUAUUUAUAAUAAACUCUCAUACAGAAGGAACAAAAAGCUCUAAAUACGGAAACAAAAUAACAAUAAUAAAAAUCAAAACAAAUAUAUUAUAUGAUAAAUAGAUAUGAAUUUAUUAAAAUGGCUAAGAGAAUUUAAAAGAGAAAAAGAGAAGAAGUUGAAUCAAAGGAAAAAAAUAGAAUGUAGGAGAUUAUCACUAAUCAACAUCAAGCGGCCACAAACUAAAUUUUUAAACAUUUUAUAAAUUUCAAUCAAUGACUUCGUUAUUUUAGGUGUCUCGUCAUGCCGAAGAGAUAAUAAAAAAUCAAAAUUCGAAAGACUCAAGAAAGAUCAUCUUUUCACCAUUCAUAUUUAAAUAUAAUAUAUAUAACGGCAGAGCUUCUUAUGGUCGAAAGGUCGCUGGGCAAUUCUAAGAAAUUUUUUUUAAAAGAAAAAUUCUUAUGAAAUAUUAUAUUUUGGUCUUUAAAAAUAUAAAAAAAUUAUAUUUUGAUACCCUAAAAGUUUUUAAAACUUCAUUUAGCUUGUUUAAAGUAAUUGUCUUAGUUCUGUGCUGAAUAUAUAUAUAUAUAUAUAUAUAUAUAUAUAUAUAUUAAAUAUUCUAUGUAUUAUCCCUAUCACAUUUGCAUUGAUAACCAGGACAAGAAGCUUGUAGCCAAAUGUUAGAGUACUGACAACUAAUUCCCACUGUGAAAUGUUUUAUUAGCCUCUGAUCAUCAAUGAUUAAGUGGCCCACUUGUUUUAAUUUGUCCAGAACUUAUGGAAUAAUUAAUCAAGUAUUAAUAAUUAUUUUUGGAAGCGAACAUUCUAGAUAUACCUUUUUUCUCUUGUUCAGCUACUGCAACAUUUUUGUUGGAGAAUCAAGAACUUAUGGCUUAAAAUAUUCGCAUAUACUAUAUUAAGUACUCCCAUCUUCAAAAUAGUUCAUUUUCUAUUUUUACACAGAUUAAAAAAAUAAUAAUUAUUAUGAGUUUUGACAAUUCUAUUCCUAUAACUUUUCUAUCAUACCAUUUUAAAUAACAUAUGAGCAAUUAUUAUAUUUAAAUAAUAAGUAAAAAUUAAUGAGGGUUAUUGAAAAUAAGAAAAAAUUUAAUAAGGGUAUAAUAGACAAUUUCAUGAUUAACUAUAAUACAAAAAAGAAAAAUAAACCAUAUUUUAGGACAAAUUAAAAAGAAAAGAUGAAAUAUUUUUUUGAGGCAGAUCUAUUAUUCUUCUCACAAUAAUGAUUUUAUAAGUACAGUUUUUUUUUUUCUUUAUACUCAAAUGAUAUGAGAAGCUAAUUUUAUAAAAAACGAAGAUUAAUUUGUCUUUGAAUUUGUUUAAUAGGAUAAAAAAUGUCAAGAUUUGAUCUUUUUAGAUCAAUUUAACAUCUAAACUUAUUUAAAAUAAUUAAAAAGAUCAGAUUUAAUAUUUUGGAUUAAUUUAGUCCCUGACUAUUCGCUGUAUUUAUAACGUGAGAAUUCUUAUAUAGACAUUUAUUAAAAUUAUAGUUGGAAUCACGUGGUAUAAUUUAUUGAAAAAUUUAAUUAAAUAUCAAAUUGAGGAAAUAAUAUAUGAAAUAUAUUAUAUCCCUCUUUAUCUUGAUCUAUCAUUUUAAAUUCAUAAAUAUGUACUAAUUUAAAUAUUUUAAAAUUGAACUUUACUACUAGAUUAUUGCAUAUGCAGUUCAUGCAUUUCUCAUGUUAAACGAAUUCAAAGUUACACUACAUAUUUUAUAAAUUUACUGUGUUAAAGAAAUAAUAUUUUCGUGAUUUUAAAAUUCUAUUCAGAAGUAUUGGAAAAGUUUGAUCUAGAUAUUCCUAUUAAAUUGAAUCAAUUUAUUAUUUUGUAAAAAUCAAAAUAAAUUUAGUGGCUGAAUUGAUUUAAAAAAAAUCAAAUCUGACUUUUAAAUCCCAUAAAUAAGUUCGUGAGCUAAAUUAGUCUUUAUUCCAUUUUAUAACCACAAAGUCGUGUUUAAAAUUUUAAACAAUAUGGUUCUUAUGUUGCCUGUAACGGUUUCGUAUGCUCUAGUAGCUUUCUCUCUUUUGUCCAAGGUUUCUUGUCCUGCCAACAUGGAGAGGGACUUUAAUCAUUUGUCAAUCGCUGAUGAUGAGGAAGAAGGCUUGCCUGUUAACGCAUCUUCAGAUGCCACCAAGUCUACCUACGAAUUUUGUCUUGUCGACAUGUUCUUGACUUGCGGGACUGUGAAUUUUUAGUCCAUGCGAAACACUUUCGCAGAUUUGUGGCAUUCGCUCGGAGGGAUUAUAAUUACUGAUUUGGGAGCCAAACGUUUUCUGUUUCGGUUCUACAACAAAGUGGAUUUGGAUAGGGUUUUGAAUGGUGCCCCAUGGACUUUUAAUCGACACUUGCUGGUAUGGGGUCUGAUAAAAAAUGAUGAGGACCCGCUGCUGAUUCCUUUGCUAUACUCGGAUUUCUGGGUUCAGGUACAUAACUUGCCGGUCGGGUUAAUGUCUGCGGCAGUGGCCAAAUCAAUAGGGAAUUUCAUUGGUACUUUCAUUGAAUAUGACAUUAAGACUGUUCAUUUUGAUCCCAAUCAAUUUAUGAGACUGCAGGUUAAGUUGGAUAUUCGUACCUUUACGUAGAGGAAAGAAGUUGAUUGAUUCUAAUGGUAAUGUUCAUUAUGUCCAAUUCCAGAAUGAAAAACUUCUUGUGUUUUGCUAUACUUGCGGUCGCUUGGGACACACCGAUUCGUUCUGUAAAUUACAAUUGCACAAGUCUAAAAAAGAACUCAAGCCAGCUUGGGAUGAUCGAAUAAGGGUGCCGAUUCGCCGGAAAAUUCAGCAAACAACCAUGGCUGCAUGAUGAUAGAAAGUUUGAUGAUACUCCAAUCCAGGCAGAUAUUUCGGGAUGUGUGGGCGGGAAAUAUGGAGUUUUGAAAUCCCAACAAUUUUGAGCUUCCUUUUAUGGCACGAUAGUUAAUUUUAAUGUUAGUACUAAUCCCAUAGGCUUUAUGGAGACUGAUACAAAUUCUUUGAAUGGGUCCAAUACUGAUGGGCUUGACGAGGAUGUGGUCUUAGAAGAUGUGGGUGAAAUGAAGAAGAGGCCCCGAUGAUCCUUUUUGGUGAGGGUAUUAAAGUGGCUAGUGAUCCUUGAGGAGGAUCCUUUUUGCUGUAGAAUCAACGUGGUAGCUCUACUGUGGAUAUUGCCGUGAAGUACCUAUCGAAUUGGAGAGAAGUGUGUCUGCCACAUGAAGCUGCUGUGACGUCCAUUUCAGUGCUUCAUUGACAUGCACAUAAAGCACCAUCCAUUCACGCUCACAAUUUUGUUUGGAUUUGCUUCAUUGAUGGAUCAGUGUUCACAACCAUGGAUUUCAUUGGCUAUGCUUAUGUUAUUGAGGACAGUGAGGGACGGUUUCAACGUGCAGUGUCAGGGUUUCAGGAAGGCAAUGGCUCGGCGGUGGUGAUGGAGGCUAUAGCUCUUCGUUCCUGCCUUUCAUAUGCUCGUGAUUUUCUAUCUUUAAAUGGGUGUAUUUUUUCAAAUUGCCAAAAUCUUAUGAAUGCUCUCAAAUCCCAUUGUUUUAGAUAAUUUUGAAUUUGGUUUGAUUGUUCUUGAUUGUAAGCGAAUUUUAGAGUCUAGACAUGAUAUUACUGUCAGGUGGAUUCAGAGACAAGCUAAUAUGGAUGCUCACACUCUUGCUAGAGCAUCUAUACAUCAUGCUCGUUUCCAAAUUUGGGAUGAUGUUCGUCUUGUUAGUUAGAUUUUUUCCAUUGAGAUAAUGCAAUAUUAUUUCAUUUAAAACAAAUUUAAAACAAUAUAUAAAUUUUAUCAAACAAAUUUAAAUUAAUAACUCUAAAAAAUUUUAAUUUUUAGAUAUUAAAUGGUGUUAUUAGAUGUAAACUAAAUUUAUAUUGUUAUUUCAAUUUAAAUGUCUAAACAAAAUUCUCAAAUUCUUUUUUUGUUAAUAUUUUUUUGGAGAAAUAUAAUUCAUUAAUAAUAAAAGUAUUACAAAUACUCAAUUAGAUCAAAUAUAAAACUUAUUAUCAUAAUUAAUAAAAAGUUCGAUGAUCCUUCAACAAUAAAAGAAUUAUCUAUAUUUUUUUGAAUAGUAAAACUAAAAUUAAAAGAAACAGUUGGAGUUUUCCGCUUGAAAAAAACUUUGAUCGAUAUAAAUCUUCAUAGUAACAACUGAUCCUUUAAUUGAUUUGGACGAUAAAAUAACUUUUUCGAACUUUAUAUGCUUGGAUUGCUUUUUCAAAAAUUUGUUGCAUAUAACAUAUGCGGAUGAGUUUAAACCACUAUGGGUUAAUAGCAUGAAUGAAGGAACAGACUGUACUAUCAGGUUCCAUUGGUUGAAGAUACACAUCAGUAAAACAAGAUCGAAAUUCUCCAAUCAAAUAAAAUCAAAUGUCAUACCUUUUAAUAAUAAAUCUUCACAAGGAACUAAACCCUCUCAAAAGAAUGGGCAAAAAAACUCCAAAUAUGGAGACAAAACAAAUCAAUAACAAAAACAACAAUAACAAAAAUAUAUCUAUUAGAAGAAAAUGGAUUUGAGUUUAUUAAAAACAAAUAAAAGAUUAGGAGCCAGAAGAAAAAAAAAAAAAGUAUGGGGCUACUACUGAUUAACAAUGGCAACCUCAAACAAAAACUAUGAUUAAAUAAAUCAGAGAGAAAAGAGGAGGAGAGAAACCCUAAAACUAUCGAUUUUUUUUUUGUUAAUAUUUAAAAUGACGGUUUUUUUUUUUUUUUUUUUUUUUUUUGCGAAUGUUAAACAAAUCCCUAAAUAGUAUAGGUAAUAAAAUAAAAAAAAAUAUGUAUCACUUUAAUAAUAAUUUCAUGUUAAAAAAUGUUGGAAAAAUAGAGCUCUUGAAUAGGAAAAUCCGGUAUCGAAUUUUUGCUCUGCUAGGGUUUAUCACUUUAACAUUUAAAAAAAAAAAAAAACUAUUUUCAAGACAGUUCAUUUUCUAUUAUUUCUUUUUAAUAUUGAAUAUUAAUUAAAUAACUUACUUUUAAAAAUAUUUUUCCUUGACUUUUUUAAACACUUUAAAUAUAGAAAAAAUUCAAAAAUAUUUUUUAAAUAAAUUAUUUUCAAGAAAAAAUCUUGGAUAAUGGAAAUUUGGAAAAUUAGAUAAAUAAUAAUAAAACCUUAUGCACAGCAAACAUUUGUUAUAUGGUGUCCCAAGAAUAGUAAAACUUGUGGCUGAAUUUUGUAUUUCUUUUUUAGAUCACUCUCUAUCACGCUCUUAACAAUUCCCAUUUGCUGAAGUGGUCCCCAUAAAAGUAUUCUUGAUUGAGAUUUGAAUACGAAUUUCAAUUAAGUAAGCUUCAAGUUACAAACAUCAUCUUCACAAAAUUUCCUUCAUUGGUGAAGCAUUUAUCAUUUGGUAAGUUUUCUCAGAUUUAACACUAUGUUUGGAAUUGGGAGAUUUUAUGAUAGGAAGAAAAUUUUGAAUGGAAAAUAAGAAAAGAAAGCUAUUUUCCUCCUGCUUAAAUGUAAAUAAAAUUUGAAAGGAAAGAAAAUAUUACCAAAAUCCUUUCUGUCCCAUAUUUUAUUAAUCUCUCCAAAUUGGCGAGAAAAUAGGAGAUAAAUGUAUAAAAGGAUAGAAGUGUAAAUUUACAACAAUACAAUUUUCUUUCCUCCAUAUUUUAGACUUUUCUAAAUAAUAUAUAUAUAUAUAUAUUUUUUAUUUUUUUUUUUCCUUUCAAUCUAAACAUAAAAUGGAAAAUAAAGAAAAAAAGAGCUCUUGUUUUACUCGGCACAUGUACAAAAUAUAAGACAUCAAUGUGUUGAACAUGCAAAUCCCAUGCAUGUAUCUGCCAUGCAGGGAUUCAUAAUUAGCUCAACUGAAAAAUUGUUAAGAUCUUUCUUCAUUGUCUUUUUGUCAUAUAAAAAAACACGAGAAAAAUAAAAUAAAACAAGAAAAGGAAGCGCAUGCACAUGCCUGUAAAUGUAUAAUAUACAUCCAUCCAAAUGGGCAAAGAUUAGAUGCCUUCUCACCAUUUUUCCGCGCAUCCAAAACCGUAAGGGGCCACUCACACUUGAUGUGCAGGAUACUUAAAUCAGUUACGCAGCCAGAAAAUUAAAAUUAGAGAUAAAAAAAUUUUCAAGAGUUAACAAGAGUGAGAUUAAAAAUUUUAUUAUUUUAAAAGGAAAAAUAAAAAAUUUUAUUAUUUUUUAUUAUUAGACUAAUUUUAAAAGGUAAAAUAAUAUAUUUUCAUAUAUUAUUAGACUAAUUUUAUUUUAAAAUUUAAUAUUAUUUCUUCUAAGUAUUUUUUUAUGAAUAGAAAUUUUAAUAGAGAAUUAGAGAUCAUCCACUGGAUUUAAAAGUUAAAAUAUAUUUAUAAAUUAUUUCAUCUAUUACACUUAAAUUAUCAACUUGUAGCUUCUUCAUACAAAAUAAGGAGAUAAUUAAUUUAUCUUAAAUCUAUAAAAUUUUCAUUUGAAAUUAUUUUAAUAUUUAUUUUAUAAAAUAUUAUUAAGAGCGAAUGAAUAGUGAGAUCCAAUAAAGAAGAGUAAAAAAUUAAAAAUGUAAUAUACUCUUUUCUAAAUUAUAUAAAAAAAUGACACUUAAAAUAGAACAAAAAAAAAUCUUAAAAGUUAAACAGAAUAUCGGAAGUAUAAAUAAUAGAUUUUAUUUUUUAUUUUUUAAAAAUCGAAUUAAUCAGAGCAAUACUAACAAAAUAAUAUUGUAAAGUUACUUAGGACAUCCCUUCCUCUUAUCUCUCCGUGUGGUCGCUUUCAUUGGCUUCAUAAUCAUACACAUAUUCAUGGCCCACUUACGAAGCCAUCUCACAACCACAAAAUAUAAUUUUCAAAAGAAAAAUGACCGUUCGGACAGCUUGUUAAGUUUUUCCACACUUCUUCCUCACUUUCCCACUCUCUAUAACGGCUACAAUAGAAGGCUCUGGAACAAUCUACCUGUUUUAAGACGGCGGGACACGUGUAACCAAUCACAUGGGCUGCUUUUGCUCGAAAAUGGAGAAGAAUAAGCUGUAGUGUUACUCUUAGAUGUGAAUUAUUUGCUUCAAAUGAUGCUUUAGUUGUUUCUAGUGAAAAUAGAGCAAUAGUAAUUUUUUUUUUUUACCAUUUAAUAUGAUGUACAAUGAAUUUUUUACACUAUGUACUAUUAUGCAGCAGUUACAACAUUUUAAAGUCCAUCAAAUAGUAUAAUCCAUUAGAAAAUCCAAUAAAUUUCUCAUUGCUCUUUUGAAUAAUAUUUACUAUAUUUGUGCAUAUUAAUUAUUAAAAAAAAUUUAUUUACACCCGGUGUUUGGAUCUAUUUAUACAUCAAAUCAAUCACAAAUAAUAUUUUGAUUUAAUCAAAUGUAUUUCUAAUCAUAUAUUAAAAAAAGAUAAAAUAAUAAUUUUUUUGAUUGGUUUACUGAAUGAGACUACCCAUAUACUAAGUGUUGAUAAAAAUUUCCUUAAUUAUUAUAGAAAAGUUAGAAAUAAUUCAAUCGCUUUUCCUUAACUUACUUUUUUGCACUUAAUGUAAUAAAAAAAACUUCAAAACUUUAAUAAUGUAAAAUGAUUCUUACUAAAUUGUAUAGUUAAGUCUAAUAGGAUUGUUGAGACUUUGGUUCUUAAUUUAUGAAAUUUCAAUUUUUAUCCUAAAAAAAAAAAAACAAAGUAACAGGAAAGCUCAUAUAAAUGAACAUGCAAGAGAAAAAAAAAUCAUUUUUUAACUAAAGUAAAUUAUUGCAUACUUCCCUCCUAGAUUACUCUGAAAAAUAAAAAAUAAAAUACACAAAAUUAAAAAUAUACGAGCUUUGUUAACAGAUACAUAUUACGUACAUUUACGAUUACAUUCUUAGCAUAAUAUCAAAAUUUUCAAAAACAUUACAGUUCUUUUAUUCUAUUUACAUUGUAAGUAUCUCUCUACACAGAUUAUGCCAAAAAUACUUUUUGAAUAUCAGUUAAUCAGAUUUAAAAUAGAAUCAGGUGCAGGUGAUAUUACUUAAAAAAAUAAUAUUUCACUGUGCCACGGCAUAUAAGAUAAAAGUGUAAUCGGCAUAUAAGAAGGCACAAAAUCAAGAGAGUUGACAUGAAUGGACUGCUGUUGGGAGUGUGAGUUGGACGGAUUUGAAAUAAAGAUAAGAGGAAAGGCAUAGGUGGGACCUGUUUACUGUGCCACAGCAUGAACCGUGAUGUUUUUUGCCAGCUGGUGGACACGUGAUUCUUGAUUAGUUCAAUUACUGCAUUUGAUCAAACAUGGCCCCACUCUUUGAAUAUUUAAUUUAAGAAAAAAACCCAACCAGAACACCUCAUAUUUCCUGACUGAAAUGCUUGCUUGCUGCGGGCUACUACAAUAUAUAAGAUAUAUCUAUACUGAAACCCUUUAUCUUUAAUUGGCAUUAUUAAAAGAUUUUGUAACCUUACACCGUGGAAAUACUGGAAAUGACAAUUUUAACUCAUUUAAAUGUAAAAGUUAAUUAACAAAUUUAUUUUGGAUAAUUUAUACAAAAUAUGAAUAAAUAUUGUAUUUCUAAAAUAUAAGUCGUUUAAAGUAUUGCAUGCGAUUAAUGAAUCAAUUAAUUUCGCUAAAAAUUAUAUCACUCCGUCUCAAAAUUUAAGUUGUCUAAGGUGAUAAUUUUAUCACAAAAUAUAAGUCAUUUUGAAUAUUUUAAGAAAUUACAAAUGAUUUUUUUUCUUUCAACUGUAUCCUUAUUUAUAUUAGAUAUAAUACAACGAUGUGAGAUAAAAGUAACAAUGAGAGAUAAAUGAUAAUUUGUUCAAAUUACUCUUGAUUUUGUUAGAAAUUUAGAAAAAUUAAUUGCAUUUUUAAUUCUCGUAUAAAAAUCUUAAACGACUUAUAUUUUGGACAAAUAGAGUAAUAAACUCAACAAUAAUUUGAUUUAUGAGAAUUAAUUUAAACGAUCAAAUUAUCCUUAAUCUCAAAAUCAAGUUAUUGUAUUAUGAAUAAAGUUAAAAUUGGAAAAAAGAUUAUUUGUUAAAUAUGUUUUGAAAUCAAAUAGUUUUAUGAGUUAAAAAGAUUAGAAAUAAUCAUUUUUUAAAUUCAUUUGGUGUUAAAUUGGGAUGAUAAAUUAUCAAAAAAAAAAAAAAAAUAUAUAUAUAUAUAUAUAUUUGACAAACAGAUUGAAAGCUAGUUCUUUUGAAAGUUUACUGAGAACACAAAUUACAAGCUCAUAGUAGUUAGUAGCUUGAUUAAGGAAACCCAUGAAGGACAAAAUGACAGUGGCAAAUGCCUUUGAGACCAAAAGGCUUCAGCUUCAAUUUUUUAUAACGUAACAUUUAAUAUCUUUCUCUUUAUGAUUUUUAAAUUAUUGUAAUUGCUAUCAACAGUAUAAAGUAUAGAAAAUUCAUUAUAUAUAAUAUUGAAUAAAAAAAAAAAAAGGGUGAGAAAUGUCAUUAUUUAUAGAAUUAAUUCACACAAACAUAAAUGCGAAGCUUCAUUCUACCUUUUAGGUGCUACCAUUCACUGAAGGGGAACGCACGCAUCAUUGAAGCUCAACGCCUGUCUUUUGCACUUUUCAAACUGAAUCAUUUCAUUCGUGAAAUAAAUUGAUGGAUAAAGGGCAAUUGCCAAACAAUAUUAACGGCAAAAACAAACGAGUCUUUUUUUUUUUUCUUUUUCUUUUCUUUUCAUUAGAAUAUUUAAAGUAUUGGUUAGAGGUAUAAUUAUAAAAUAUAAUUGAUCUCAUAAUUAAUCUUUUCCUUUUCUUAAUAAUAAUCAUUAUAGUCUUGCUUUUGGUGUUAUAGUUGUUUUUUUUUUUUAAUAAUAAAAAAAUAAUGUAUUAUGUCAAUCGAAUGUGAUCUGAUUGGUAUUUCCAUUCACCUUGAGAAGUUUCAAAUUUUAGAUAGUUAACUAUCAGAGUUAUCGUCAAUUUUGCUUAUAAAACAACAAGAGAGCUACCUAUAUUAUGCAGCCCACAAAAAUUCUUUAUAAUAAAUUAAAAAAAUAUUAUUUUAUUAAAAUUGAUAUAUUAUAUUUGUUAUUUAAUAGUUUGAACUAGAAAAAUAAGCUACUAAAAUUCACACAGAUUUUCUUAAAUAUAAAUUUUUACUAUGAAAAAUAGAAAUCAAAGUCAGAAAACAGAAAUGAUACAAAAUAGACACGUAAUCAUAUUUGAUGAGCAUUUCUCAUAAUACACGUUAGCUUGUUUAGCUUGUUUCGUGUAAAUUGAUGAUCCCAUUCUGUUUCGACAUAAAUGGUAUCAUUGGUUAUUAUAAACAAUUUCAAAAAUUUUUGAGCUACCACCAUAAAUACAACUUGUAUGAUUUCAAUUUUCAAAUUUAAAAGUUAUCUAAUAUCUACUUUAUCAAUGGACCUACACCUUUCCAAAUUUCUUGUUAAUCUUAUGCAUUAGAAAAUUUAGCCAAAUAAAAUUGAUAUUAUAUAUCAAUUUUAUUUAUUUUUCAAUUUAAAAUCACAAGUUUAAUUAUCGGAAAAUGCAUAUACUAUGAAGAAAAAAUUUUUAUAAUCAACUAUCCAAAAGAGAUUAGUUUACACCAAUAUAGUAGAAGAAAAAUAGUGGAAGAACACGUGACGAUUCUAAUAUGAUAUACAUAAACUAAAAAUAUUUUAAAGGAGUCUUCACUUAUAAUUUUGUUUUCAAAAUUUAAUACUUGUAAUUUGUUUUAACCAACUAUUUACUAUUUUUAAUUGAUUUUGUAAACUCAAAACUCCAUUUAUUUUUCAAAAAAUAAUUUAUUUUUAAAAAAUAUUUUUAAAAGCAAAACAUACUUGAAAAUUUGAAAUAACACAUUUUCUAUUGUUUGGUUACAAUAUUGAAAAAUUGUUAAAAAAUAUUAAAGCUUUUAUAAGAUCGAAAAAAUUUAUAAUUAUAAAAAGUUUCACAUUUUAAAAUUUUAUUAUUUAAUACAACAUAAAUAUUUAUUACGUGCUUGAUUGUAAUUUGUAUCUAAGACUUAAUCAUAUUUUAUGGACCAAAGAUAUAUUUUGUAUAGAAUCCAGAUAGAAAUAAGAGAUUAUAUUCCUAAAUCCUUCGCUAACUCUCAAUGAACUAGCAAUCACUCCAAAAUACUUAUUGAAUUGGUAUUUCAAAUAUUUAUCUAAUAAAGAUUCCACCUACAACUCUAAUGAAAAUUCUUUACCUCUGUAUAAAAGAGGGAUCAAACUCCCUACUCACACUAUUUAGGCAAUGUAAUACCAAUAUAUUUCAUUCAAUUAUAAGUAUUUAUUAUUUAUUUACUGACUUAAACAUAAAAGUGAUUGCAGGCCUAGAUGAGACCUUUAUUAUUCGUUUAUGUCUUGCAGAUUUCUACGGACCUCUCUUUAUUUUUCCUUGUUCAUUUAUGUCUUACAGAUUUUUACAUAGGCGCUAUGGAUAGAUUUUUCUAAGUCUAUCAUUAUUAAAUAUGAGAAACAAUAUUAUAAAAAAAGAUAAAUUACGAUAUCUAUCGAUGACCGUGGUCGUGAAAAUAAUGAUUAAUUAAUAAUAAAUAUGUAUUUAUAAGUUUAUAAUAAAUUUAUCAGUAUCUGAAAAAUAUUUUUCUCUUUUAGAAAAAGAAAGUUAUAAAAAUGAUUUAGUUCUCUCUUUCUUAAGGAAAAUAUCAUCUGUUGCUAAUUUUCUUGAACACUUCAAACAUUAAAAAAAAAUCUAAAAAAUAUUAUUCAGACAAGUUAUUUCUCGAAAUUAAUGGAAUCUCAAUAUUAAUUUAUUAUUAUUUUUUCCAUUGAGAAAAAAAUAUAUUAGAUUUAUUCCACUAUUGAGAAUAAAGGAAAUCAUUUAAAAUAAGAAAGCUCAAAAAGUUAUAGCCGUAAUACUAAUAGCAUUAUUUCAAAUUUGUUUGACAUGAUGUAAUCAACCGAAAUGAUAAUUACAUUAUAUGAGUAAUUACAUUAUUUGAUUAGACUUUUUUUAAUAGCGUAGUAUAAUUGAGACUACGUGUAUAAUCUUCAUCACUUAAAUUGAUGUAAUACUCAUUACAUGAAAAAACACACAUAUUGUCUAUUACAUCAAGUAAAUGGAAUACCGAUUAUAUUAAGUCAUCCCAAUCAAAACUCUACCAUUCUAGAUUAUUUAGGCUGUGUUGGGUAAUAAAGUUUUGAGUGGCUUUUAAAGUUUUGACUGGUCAAAACGUUACUUAAAAAGUUGUUUGGUAACAUAGCGUUUGGACUAGCUUUUAGAGAUUAGAAUAACGUUUUGUGAAAAGUUAACUCACGUAACGUUUAGCUUUUAGCGUUUCAUGAAAAACUACUCAAACAGCUAACAACUAAACACUAUUAAAAUAGCAAAUAGCUACCAAAAUAGCUAAUUUUGCCGAACAUAUCCUUAAUACUACCACUUCACCACCACAACCACUAUCACCGCUUCACCACCACAGCACCACCUUAACACCCACCACAACCACUGCCACAAUUACUACUCCACCACCACCACCACCACUACUGUUCCAUCACUACUUCAACCACCAUUACCGCUCUGCAACGACAACCAUCACCAUUGUUCUACCAUCACCACUACUACCACCAUCACUGCUCCAUCACUAUCACCUCAACUACCACCACCGCUGCUGCUGCCUCAACUCCUACCAUCAUCGCUCCACCACCACUAUCACCACCAUCGCUUUACCACCACCACCAUGUGGUGGUGAUAUGAUUAGUGGUGAUGGUGUGCUAAUUAUAUUACAUAUUUACAAAAAAAAAAAAAAAGAACGAUGAUUAUAUUCCUAAAUUUUCUUGAUAAUAUUAUCAAACAUAGUAAUGAAAUCUUAAUUAAAUUACGUUUUUCAUCACAUUACUUCUUUAAUUACAUUAUAUUGCCUUACAUCAAACCAGACAUAGCGUUAGCAUGUAUAUCCUCAUACACAUCAAAACUUGACUCUAAUAUCUAUGAGAAAAAUGCACAGUUAAGCCCUUAAAUUUAAUCAGUUUUUCCAUUAAACUUUUAUUUAUGAAUAUUAAGUUUUUAAACUUUUAUUUUUUUUAAAAAAAUUAAACUCUAUUUAACCGAGAUUUAAACUUUUAUUUUUUUAAAUUAAACUCUUAUUUAAUUAUGAGUUAAACAAUUAUAAUCCCAUAUGUUAUACGCGGUUGAUGGGAAAACUUAAUCGAAUUGUUAAAUCUCUUAAACUUUUAUUUUUUGAAAAUUAAGUUUUUAAAUUUGUACUUUUGUUAAAGUGAGUAUUUAAAUUAUUUCCAUUAUCAGUGAUUUGAAUUUAUUAUUUACUCACUAUCGAUUUAGAACUUAAUUUUAACUUAAAUAAAAAUUGAAGGAUUCAAUAUUGAUAAAUGAAAUUGCAGGAGCUUAGUAGACAAAACUUGAAAAAUAAGAGGCUUAAGUACAUCUUUUACCAAAUAUAAUCAAGAGUUAAUUUACACUCACACAUAGGUGAGGAUAGGAUUAGGAUAGAAGUGUGGUAAGUGCCCGCGAACUUUGAGUUAUCCAUAUCUAUAUCUGUUUAGAGCUUUAAAAUCAAUUGUAUCUAUGUUAAAUCCGUUUAAAUACCUAUAUCAAAAUCUGUUUAAAAUUUUACUGUCCGAUCCAUUCAAAAUCUAUUUUAAAUACUUGUAUUUGAUGUUCAUAAAAUUUAAACCAUUUAAACACGAACUUAUUUAAAAAAGUAUCUUCCAUUGAUAAUGGAUAAAGUAUCAAGGAUACUCACAGUAAAACUCAUUUAAUAUAAUGGAUAACAAGUAACGAAUAUUCAAACUCAUUUAGUAAAACUCCUGAAUUCAAACGACAGGAUUUGCAAGUGAAGAGAGAUGGAACCUAAAACGGUUGGCUAUGUACUCAAUGUAGAUUCACUAACAAAGUACAACAAAUGCAAAUACCAAGUAAAAAGGAACAAAUGGUUAAGAAUUCAGACAAAGUCCUAACUUCAAAGUUCAAAGUUCAAACCAUAAAAUCAUUUCAGUAAGGAGAAAUCAAACUAAAACUUUUGAAUGUUAAAAUUUCAACUUUAACCACAGAACCAAAACCCUGUUAGCUAUGUACUAACACAAAGUGCAAGAAACACCGAGUACGAACUCAAGCACAGUAAGAUUGAGCUGGAUUGCCCAUAACCCAAAAACACUAGAAUGUGUCUGGUGUGGAGGGGUCCAGAAGCCAACUUAAAUAGAAGCAGAGGGACAACACUGGAAAUUAUGAUUUAAAAAAAAAAAAAAAAAAAAAACUAAAAAGCAAAGAGAGAAACAGACAAGAAAUAACCGUUGUAGGGGUGGCUUUUUGGGUUGGAUGCCAGGCUGACGCUUGAGCCCCCCUCAGAUGAUUCAGCUCACAUGGUCUAUCUGUACACUCUGGGUCCCACCCUCCACUUUCUCUCUCUACUACCCUCUUUGGAUUAGUUGUCAAAUGAUCCUUUUAUGUUAUCAUAUUACACACUUUCAUCCUAUCUAUUUCAAAGUUACUAACUUUAGUUAAUGAGAUUUAAUCUGCCAAAUGCAUAAAUUAAUAUCUAAAUUUUAUAAGAAGAGUCUAGUAGCACCUUUAAACGUUGAAAACUUCUUUUCGUAAAAUUAUAGCUAGUAAAUGCCUUAAUUUAAAAAACCGUAUUUAUUAAAUACUUAAACGUAUAUAAUUAUGUUUAUUAAAUAUUUAUCGGAUGAUUUAAAAUAUAAAAAUUUUAUUAUUUAAUAAAUUAUAUUAAAAGUUAUAUAAAAUGUUACACUUAUUGAAUAUAUUAUUUAGUAAUUGUUGUAAAAUUAAAAACCCUGUUUUUUUUUUUUUCAAAUUAAGUUGAUACUUAGUCUCAACUGUGCUUUUAUCCAUAAUUUUAAAUAAUUUAUUUGUAGAAACCCUAAAAACCAUAUAUUUUUCGUUGACAUAUCAUAAAAAUUAAAAUUAUUAAUUUCAAACUGUUUAAAUACUGGUAAAAUGUAAAAUAAUGCAAAUGGUGACAGUUUUUGCAACCAACUUUUUUUCUUGGAAAUUCUCUGUAUUACAAUCGUCUUUUAUAAUAUUUUUAUUAAUAUUAUUUUGUUCCAAACAUGCCCUUGUCUUAUCCAAAUAAUGCCCCGUACUCUCCUGCCCUUCUCUCUAUUCUUAUAAGGGCAGUGGCCUGUGGAUCAAAGACCACAGUCCCAAGAGAGAAGAGAAAGACAAAGCAAUUAAGCUCACAAGAGAGAAGCUCUUCUAUUUUCUAGAGUAAGAAAGAAGAAAGAAGACGAUGGCCAAGGAAGUAAGUGAAGAAACGCAAACUACCCAUGCAAAGGAUUAUGUUGAUCCACCACCUGCGCCACUGAUCGACAUGGCUGAAAUCAAGCUCUGGUCUUUCUACAGAGCUUUAAUAGCUGAGUUCAUAGCCACUCUCCUUUUCCUUUACAUAACUGUAGCCACUGUAAUUGGCUACAAGAAACAAACUGAUCCAUGUGGUGGAGUUGGUCUUUUGGGCAUUGCAUGGGCCUUUGGUGGCAUGAUCUUUAUCCUUGUUUACUGCACUGCCGGUAUAUCUGGUAAGUAAAAAAAAAAGGAACUAUUUCUCUAAGUUACUAGUACCCAAAUGGGUAUUUAUUAAGUUUUAGGUUUCUGUGAAGUUUCUUUGUGGAUUUGGUCAUUCAACUUGAAAAAUAACAAAACCCAUUUGUUUUCAAGACCUGUUUAAUAAUGGGUUUUCCUUAUUUUGGUUACAGGUGGUCAUAUUAACCCAGCAGUGACCUUUGGGCUGUUUUUAGCAAGAAAGGUGUCACUAAUUCGAGCCUUGGCUUACAUGGUGGCUCAGUGUUUAGGUGCCAUCUGUGGUGUAGGGUUGGUCAAAGCUUUUAUGAAGAAUCCAUAUAAUCAUCUUGGUGGUGGUGCUAACUCUGUAAAUACCGGCUAUAGCAAAGGAACUGCUUUGGGUGCUGAGAUCAUCGGCACUUUUGUUCUAGUCUACACUGUUUUCUCUGCAACUGACCCCAAGAGAAGUGCACGUGACUCACACGUUCCUGUAUGUUAUCAACCAUAGCCUAGUAUAGCUCUCCUCUUUCAUGUCAAAGAGUUCAAAUCUAAACUUUGUUUUGGUUAUGUUUGGUUGCAGAUUUUGGCUCCACUUCCAAUUGGGUUUGCAGUUUUUAUGGUUCACUUGGCUACCAUACCCAUUACUGGUACUGGUAUUAACCCAGCGAGGAGCUUCGGUGCUGCUGUUAUUUACAACAAUGAUAAAGUCUGGGAUGAUCAUGUAAGCCUCUUGAUAGUCAACCAGAAACUUAUUUUUCUUGAUUUUAUGGUUGUUUUGAAGUUGGUGCUUUUUAACAUAAAACAUCAGAAGUAGGUUAAUUUUCAAGAAUAUGUUUAUCUUCUUGAUAAAAUAAUUUAAUUUCCUUUUUAAUUAUUUUUUGGAUGGGCAGUGGAUUUUCUGGGUUGGACCGUUUGUUGGAGCAAUUGCAGCAGCUGCAUACCAUCAAUACAUACUGAGAGCAGCAGCUAUCAAAGCUUUGGGAUCUUUCCGCAGCAACCCCACCAACUAAAAUGAAAGAAAGAACGAAAGAAAGAAAAACAAGAAAAAAAAAAAAAACCAAAGGCUUUGUGUAGCUAUCUUUAGUCUCUAGUCUUUCUUUUUCUCUAUUUGUUUGUUUGUUGUGUGUAAUGAGAGGAUUAUGAUGAUGACCCUUCUUUCUUCUUUCUUUUUUUACUUCAUUUUUUCUUUUCUUAUUGUUCUUUUGUAUCAUUGUUAAUGAGUAGUGCUGUUCUUUUUUCUUUCUUUUGAUCAUAUUUAAUUGCUUUGUGCAGUGUAGAACGUUCUCUCUCAACACUCUUUUAAUAAUUAGCCACUAAAUAAACUACCAGCUAACUAAAUUUUUAUCCUCUCGACCUUCAUUACAGCGGUGCUAGUGAAUUUGUGAGUAGCGGUUAGGCCAUCUUCGGGAACAGUUUUUUCAUAUGGC
rnacentral:lncRNA from 1 species